ensembl:snRNA U1 U1 spliceosomal RNA
AUACUUACCUGGCAGGGGAGAUACCAUGAUCACGAAGGUGGUUUUCCCAGGGCAAAGCUUAUCCAUUGCACUCCAGAUGUGCUGACCCCUGGAAUUUCUCCAAAUGUGGGAAACUUGGCUGCAUAAUUUGUGGUAGUAGGAGACUGCGUUCAUGCUUUCCCCAA